AGAGGGAGAGAGUGGGGCAGAGGGCGGGUCGCGCCGGGUCCCAGAGAGGGCCGCUCUGCGCGGCUUUCACCCGGAAGGAGGUGGGAGCCGCGGAGGGGUCUGUGCAGCGGCGCCCUCGGUGGGACAGGUGUCCUCGGGCGCUGUACCGAGAGCAGACUGCAGGGGGCGCGGCGGCCGCAGGAGAGUCGCAAGGAGGCGCUGCAGGAGCCCCGGGCUGGGGGGCAGGACCCGGUCGGAGGCACCGGUGUCCUGAGCCGCUAGACUUCCGCCCGCGAGGCCGCUGAGCCCGGCUCCCUGUGCAGCGCACGACCUGCCCACAUGUACCCGGCCUCCUGGCCCUGAUGGGAACCAGCUCCCGAAGAUUCAGGACUUACCGCAGGAGCUCUAUCUGGGAGGUCAUCCCAGGAGACAUCAGGGACGCCAGAAGGAGCCCGAUAGAGGGGGCAUUGUCAAGCCCCGUGUAGGCCACUGGAGCUUGGUUUUGCUGGGGACCCCCGAGAGAUGGUGAGGAGUGCCCCUUCGCUGUCCCACGGGCCUUGGGGCAGAGAGCGCCAAGUGCCGCGUCACCCACAGGGGGCUGCGUGGGGAGUGGGUGGCAGCAGCAGUGGCUUCUUAUAACCCUGGGUGGUGGGCAGCCCUUGCUUGGCACAGGGACUCCUGCUGAGAGAAACCUGGCCGUCCAGGCAGGGUCCUCGGGCAGCUCUGCCAACAGACCCCUCUGGAUGGGCUCGGGCUCCUGGGGUCCCCAGGGCGCUGGUGGCACCGUCUGCAGCGAGCUCUGGGUGCUGGGCCCCACCUCCUUCAGCCCGGUGCUGCCCCCAGGCCCCCCUCCCCUCGCUGCCCGGGGUCUGUGCGGGAUGUCUUUUGUGUGUGCUUGUGUUUAUUUGGUCAAGGGCUGGGUCAGGGACGUGGAGUCCAAGCUGCUGUGAGGAAAUGGGGGUGGGGGGCUCCCUUGUUUUCCCCCAGGACAACCGGAUGGCCCUGGGUCAGGAGACAAUGGGUCCAGGGAGGGGCCAGGUGCUGUGCCCGGGGCAGGAAAAGGACGACUUAAAGAUAAACACGGCCCCGCCUGUGGACUUGAACUCUGGGCUGCGGAGAGGUGGUCACGACUGUCCUUCCCUGGGUGCCCCACGGACCCUGGGGGGCGAAGAGGAG